CACGUAGGCACCAAGCGUUGUCCGGAUUUAUUGGGCGUAAAGAGCUCGUAGGCGGUUCGGUAAGUCGGGUGUGAAAACUUUGGGCUCAACCCAAAGCGUGCACUCGAUACUGCCAUGACUAGAGUUCGGUAGGGGAGUGGGGAAUUCCUAGUGUAGCGGUGAAAUGCGCAGAUAUCAGGAGGAACACCAAUAGCGAAGGCAGCUCGCUGGGACGUUACUGACACUGAGGCGCGAAAGCGUGGGGAGCGAACAGG
rnacentral:rRNA from 1 species